GCCUGGGUGGCUCAGUUGGUUGGGCGUCUGACUUAGGCUCAGGUCAUGGUCUUGUGGCUCGUGGGUUCAAGUCCCGCGCCAGGCU